AGCGAACGCUGGCGGCAGGCUUAACACAUGCAAGUCGAGCGGGCACUUCGGUGUCAGCGGCAGACGGGUGAGUAACACGUGGGAACGUACCCUUCGGUUCGGAAUAACGCUGGGAAACUAGCGCUAAUACCGGAUACGCCCUUUUGGGGAAAGGUUUACUGCCGAAGGAUCGGCCCGCGUCUGAUUAGCUAGUUGGUGGGGUAAUGGCCUACCAAGGCGACGAUCAGUAGCUGGUCUGAGAGGAUGAUCAGCCACACUGGGACUGAGACACGGCCCAGACUCCUACGGGAGGCAGCAGUGGGGAAUAUUGGACAAUGGGCGCAAGCCUGAUCCAGCCAUGCCGCGUGAGUGUUGAAGGCCUUAGGGUUGUAAAGCUCUUUUGUCCGGGACGAUAAUGACGGUACCGGAAGAAUAAGCCCCGGCUAACUUCGUG
rnacentral:rRNA from 1 species